rnacentral:lncRNA from 1 species
AAACUGCCGGAUUUCACCCCAAAAUGCUGAAAAUGGGGAGGGGGAGGAGCAAGGGGGGCACACCCAGGACCCUGCCCCCCCACACACUUGAUUUUUUCUGCAAUUUUCCCAAUUUUGCUGGUUUUUUUUCUGCUGUUGCCCCCCCAGGAUCCCCGUUGUGCAGGUUUUCACCAAAACCCCUGUUUUUCCCCCCAUUUCCACCACCCUCUGGUUCCUGGGGUGUGUUCCCAGUAUGGGCACUGGGAGCACUGGGCCGGUUACUGGGCGCACUGGGAGAGCCCCUGAGGUCCUGUAGGGGGAGCUGCGGCCUCGUCCCAGUACAGGAACUGGGUAUACUGGGCAAACUGGUCCUGUAUGAUCAUGAGGAGGGCUACUGGGAGAGCUGGAGCCUCACACCGGUACACAAACUGGGUAAACUGGGCAAACUGGGCCCUGUAAAUGAGGAGCUGGGCUACUGGGAAAGCUGGGCCCUUUAUCCCAGUACACAAACUGGGAAUACUGGGCAAACUGGGCCUUGUGAAUGAGGAGCUGGGCUACUGGGAGAGCUGGGACCUCACACUGGUACGUAAACGGGGUAUACUGGGCAAACUGGUCUUAUAUAAUCACAGUUAGGGCUACUGGGAGAGCUGGGGCCUCGUCCCAGUACACAAACUGGGCAAACUGGGCCCCCUGGUCCUAUAUAAAGGGGAGCACGGCUACUGGGAGAGGUGAGUCCCUGAUCCCAGUACAGGAACUGGGGCUACUGGGAGAGCUGGGAUCCCCAUCCCAGUACAGGAACUGGGGCUACUGGUCAAACUGGGGGUACUGGGAGAGCUGGGAUCCCUAUCCCAGUAAGGGAACUGGGGCUACUGGUCAAACUGGGCACUACUUGUCUGCUCCCAGAGCCGCCAGGCGCUCCCAUUACAAGUACUGGGGGGGGUGGGGGGUGAGGAGGAGGAAGAUGAGGAUGAAGAUGAUGAGGAUGAUGAUGGGGGUGCUGAGGAUGAAGGCACCGAGGAGGAGGAGGAAGAGGAAGAAGAGGAUGAAGAUGAUGAUGGGGGUGCUGAGGAGGAGGAUGAAGGCUCUGAGGAAGAGGAGGGUGAGGGUGGGGGCCCUGAGGAGGAGGAGGAAGAUGAAGGUGAGGAUGAAGGCCCUGAGGAGGAGGAGGAGGAAGGCGAGGAUGAGGAUGGAGAGGAUGAUGGGGUGCUGAGGAUGAAGGCCCUGAGGAGGAGGAAGGCACUGAAGAUGAGGAUGGAGGCGAGGAUGAUGAUGAUGGGGGUGUGAUGAUGAAGGCACUGAGGAGGAAGAUGAGGAUGAUGAUGGGGGUGCUGAGGAUGAAGGCAAUGAGGAGGAAGAUGAGGAAGAGGAGGGUGGGGGCCCUGAGGAGGAGGAAGAUGACGGAGGAGGAGAGGAUGAGGAGGGAGGUGAUGAAGGCCCUGAAGAUGAGGAUGGGGAGGAAGAGGAGGAUGAGGAGGGAGGUGAUGAAGGCCCUGAGGAUGAGGAUGGAGGCUGGGAGGAUGAGGAGGAUGAGGAUGGAGAUGAAGACCCUGAGGAGGAGGAGGAGGAGGAGGAUGAAGGUCGUGAGGAUGAAGAGGGUGAGGCUGAAGGCCCUGAAGAUGAUGAAGGCCCCGAGGAGGAGGAGGAGGAUGAAGGCCCCAAGGAUGGCAGCGGGAGGCCGAAGGCUCGAGGCCCCCCCCGGAGAUUUUUUGGGGGAAAACGGCCUAGAAAUGGGGCUGGGGGGGGNNNNNNNNNNNNNNNNNNNNNNNNNNNNNNNNNNNNNNNNNNNNNNNNNNNNNNNNNNNNNNNNNNNNNNNNNNNNNNNNNNNNNNNNNNNNNNNNNNNNGGGGCCGGCCCCUCGGGGACCCCAAAUUGGCCAAACCGCUCGGUUUUUGCCCCAAAUCAACAGGGUCCCGGGGGCAGGAGGGGAUUGAGGCAAAAAAGCGCGGAAACGGGCAAAAAGCGGUGAUGGGAGGGGGCGGAAACGGGGAAAAAUAUGAAUUUCUGGGUUAUAAAAUGUAGAAAUUAUAUAAAAAUGAGAGAAAAGCCGUUUUGGGGGGAAAUUUGGGGUUUUUAGGCGGGUUUUGACCCCGCUUCCAGACUCGGGUUAAAAAAUCGAACCCCAAAACUGCCCAAAAUUGGGAAUU